GUACUCGAGUGGCGAACGGGUGAGUAACACGUGGGUGAUCUGCCCUGCACUUUGGGAUAAGCCUGGGAAACUGGGUCUAAUACCAGAUAGGACCACGUCUUGGAUGGUGUGGUGGAAAGUUUUUUCGGUGUGGGAUGAGCUCGCGGCCUAUCAGCUUGUUGGUGGGGUAAUGGCCUACCAAGGCGUCGACGGGUAGCCGGCCUGAGAGGGUGUACGGCCACAUUGGGACUGAGAUACGGCCCAGACUCCUACGGGAGGCAGCAGUGGGGAAUAUUGCACAAUGGGCGCAAGCCUGAUGCAGCGACGCCGCGUGGGGGAUGACGGCCUUCGGGUUGUAAACUCCUUUCGCCAGGGACGAAGCGUCAGUGACGGUACCUGGAUAAGAAGCACCGGCUAACUACGUGCCAGCAGCCGCGGUAAUACGUAGGGUGCGAGCGUUGUCCGGAAUUACUGGGCGUAAAGAGCUCGUAGGUGGUUUGUCGCGUCGUUUGUGUAAUACCGCAGCUUAACUGCGGGGUUGCAGGCGAUACGGGCAUAACUUGAGUGCUGUAGGGGAGACUGGAAUUCCUGGUGUAGCGGUGGAAUGCGCAGAUAUCAGGAGGAACACCGAUGGCGAAGGCAGGUCUC
rnacentral:rRNA from 1 species